ACGGGGGGAGCAAGCGUUGUUCGGAUUUACUGGGCGUAAAGGGCGCGUAGGCGGCCAGCACAAGUCAGUUGUGAAAUCUCCGAGCUUAACUCGGAAAGGUCAACUGAUACUGUGCGGCUAGAGUGCGGAAGGGGCAACUGGAAUUCUUGGUGUAGCGGUGAAAUGCGUAGAUAUCAAGAGGAACACCUGCGGCGAAGGCGGGUUGCUGGGCCGACACUGACGCUGAGGCGCGAAAGCUAGGGGAGCGAACGGGAUUAGAUACCCCGGUAGUCCUAGCCUUAAACGAUGAAUGCUUGGUGUCUGGGGUUAUAAAGUCCCCGGGUGCCGUCGCUAACGCUUUAAGCAUUCCGCCUGGGGAGUACGGUCGCAAGACUG
rnacentral:rRNA from 1 species